CGGAGGAAGAGGGAGUGGUCGGGGGUGGCGGGGGUGACCCGCCAGCCGGUCUCCGUCACACACGGACCCCGUGAGAUUGCCUGUGCGACGCCGUUAAAUGUCCCACUGUAGACAGAGCUGGGGGGAAGCUGCCCUUUGGAACUUUGUUCCCAUGUCCCGUGUCCCACGCGGCAACCUCACUUCAGUGCUCGCCGCACAGAAUCGGAGGACUGGCCGAGACAUGGUCCCUGUCCUCUGGGGCUUUCUGUGUCCCUGGAGUCAGCAGACCCAGGAAGAGAGGACCGAGCGGGGCAUGAUGUCAGAAGUCCACACUGGCACCCGUGGGGCAGGAAGAUGCCUCGGGGCUUCAGCUAAAGGCCCACAGCUGAGGUCGGUUCUCCGUUCUCAACAGGGCGGCCUGCCCCGUCUCCAGGGCUCACCCAGAGCAGCCAAGCCUCGGCGCCUCACCAGCGUCAUCCGGUCCCACCUCUCCGAGCGGGGCCAGGCCCUGCGAGCUGCAGCUUACGUGCAGGUGAGUAAACUGAGGCUCAGCGAGGUGAACUGACAUCCUGAGAGGGAAUGGGAACCCUUGGCCGACUCCAGCCACCCUGGGCCUCGCGCUGCUCACAGCAUCGUCCCCAGCCCUGUGCCACCUGGGACCUGGCCACCAAGGUGUGGCCACCAUCGGUGACGUGAGUACAUGAAGCAGCAAAAGUGGGUCUUCCUGGAGUUCUGUGAGCUGCUUCUGGAUGACCAGAGCCACAGCCUGAAAGUCAAAUGGAGGAGCUAUUUUUAAAGAUCCCAACAUGGUAACGAAAGCCUCAAGAAUUCCAAAGCCAGAGACAAAAAGAACCCGAGUCCCCAAACCCUUCAAGUGUCCCGUCCCAGGGAAAAGCUGAGCCUGAACCACGCUGGUGAAUCCCCGCUUCUGCCCAAAGCUGCAACACGAGGCACAUGUGACCCGCUCACAGUGAAGCCAGCUCCCAGACGCAAGUUGACGACACUGUAAGAUACUGGAACGCGAAAGGACAAGCCAGUUACUGAACCUCUGCUAUGUGUCAGGACCUCCGUAUACAUCAGGACGGUGAACCCCGCCACUAGCCUAAAAACGAGGUGCUCGCUGAGGGAGGAGGAAGUUGCGCCUUCGAGCUGCAGUACCCUGCCCAAGCUCACGGCCAGCAAAGCGUGGAGUCGGGGCUGUUCUGACUCCAGAGCCCACGCUCUUCCGUGAAAACACACCACCUCCCUGAGCGCUUGGUUUCAGAAAACGCGCUCCCUAACGAGGACACCGAAUCUGGGAAAUACGGACCGCUAAGAAUUCAAAACGUUCCGACCAGAAAUACCCUAAGAGCCUGUCUCAAGAGAAACUGGAAGCUUCUCUACCCUGCCUGCCCCUGCUUAUCACUGGGUCUGCAAACGCACUGCGCCCUGUCCCAGAAUGACCCAAGCCACCAGCUUAACACAGAGCCGGCCUCUCCUUCCAUUUACUGCUGACACUCCUCACAUAGCCAGUAUUUACGAAGCACCUUUCAACCUGUGGACACAAGGCCUCCUGGUCCCUCACUCCUACACGCUGCCGACGCUUCCUGCUUACAGCUCUGACCCUUCCCUUCCCACCUUUCCCACGACCCAAGCUUAGGCCCCCUCACCUCUGGCUGUACCUCUGUAGAACCCUAACCAACACAGGCGCCAAACCUCGGGACCAUGGCAUCCAAGGCGCCACUGACUCUGGCUCCCCUGCCCGGCCAGGCUCUCCCACGCAGCGUUCAUCCUGGCUCCCCUGCAGGGCCGGUUCACACCUCUGUGCUUCUGCCCACUGUCUCCUCCAGUUAGAAGACUCUCGCCCUCUGCCUGUUUACCACGCGCCACUAUGUACAAACCACUGCAGGAUAAGCGUUUUCAAAACUAUGAGGCGCUGUACCAAUAUAAGGCAUUAUCUUGGCCCCAUGAAGAGUCUGGAUUUAUUAGACAAUUAUUAAAAUUCUACUAGAGGUUUUUCAAGAAUAGAAUGAAGUAGUAAGCAAGACAAAAAUACGUCUGUAGAUAGAGGCAAAGAAGUGAGUGAAAGAGAAAAAAAAUCAGAGGCAAGUGAGAGUAAGUGACUAAAUGCCGUCCCCUAACAGGCAGACCAAAGUACGGACACAUGUUAAACUGGAAAGGAGGCGUUUUCUCCUCCUCAGAGGGCAGGGGAAGAAAAAGACUGAUAGGCAUUCAGAGAUAGCUCAGCUGGAAUGGAGUCAAAGUUGAGAGAACUCUCCCAACAGCCUCUGCUCCAUGAUCUAUAAGGGAGAGUCCCUUGUCAAUGGUAAAGCAAAAAGAGUGUGUGUAUAUACAUAAUAUAUGUACACAUAUAUAUAUAAUUUUAAGUGAGGUAUAGUUGAGUUACAAUAUACAAGUUUCAGGUGUAUGACAUUCACAAUUUUUAAAGGUUAUAUUCCAUUUAUGCUGCAACUAAGGAGGCCUGGAGCCACAACUAAGGAGCCUGCCUGCCACAACUGAGGAGCCCACAUGCUGCAACUAAAGAGCCAACGAGCUGCAACUAAGGAGCCCGCCUGCCACAACUGAGACCCAGUGCAACCAAGCAAAUAAAUAAAUAUUAAAAAAAAAAAAAUUGGCUAUAUUCCCUGAGUUUUACAAUAUAUCCUUGUAGCGUAUUUACUAACGACGGUUUGUACCUCUUAAUCCCCCACCCCUAUCUUGCCCCUCCCCUUCCCUCUUCCCCACUGGUAGCCACUAGUUUGUUCUCCUAUAGCUGUGAGUCUGCAUCUCUUUUUAAAAAGUAUAUUUUUAAGGAAGGUACCAUGAAUGAAGGAAGGAUGCUGUGUAAUAAAGAAUUUAACUAUGCUCAAAAGAAGGUCUGGGCUUUAUCGUCGGCUGACAAUCUGAUUUAGGGUGGGGACUGGCCACACCAGAAAGACCAAAAACAUGAUUUAGGGUGGCGCUCUGGGUCACGCAGUAUCAGCUGACCUGGAAACUGAGAUCAACCUUGUGGGCGGUCCAUCAAUCAAUCAUUUAUGCCCAUGUCAUAAAAGCCCAAUAAAGACUCCAAACACCAAGGCUCAGGUGAGCAUCCCUGGUUGGCAAUACUCGUGUCAACGCCAGUUACGUACCACGUUCCAACUCCUUGGGGAGAGGACAAUGGAAGCUCCAUGUUUGGUACAGCCCCAGAUUCUGUCCUAAGAGCCGCUUCACUUGGCUGACUUUAAUAAACCAUAACUCUGAGCACACAGCUUUCAGUGAGUUCUGUGAGGCCUUCUAGCUAGUAAUCGAACCUGAGGGUGGCGUGGGGAACCCCCAGACUUGCAACUGGUGUCAGAAGUGACGGUGGUCUUGUGUGGACUGUUCCCUCUCAACUUUGUAGCUGACCAACUCUGCAGGUGGCCCGAACUCUUCUCGGGUGCUACAGCUGAAGGGUCACACACAAGUUGUUAACCUGACCCUGGAAACUGGCUUUGGGGACAAAAAGGAGCAAGAGUGAGUGUUUAGACUCUGUACUUUAUGCUCUGCUCUAGUGUUUGAACUUUUUUUUUUUCUUAACCAAACAAGCAUGUAUUACCUCUAUAAUUAAAACAUUACUUUUAAGAAACAUACCCCCAAAAAGCUGCUCUAAGAAAACUAUCUUGUAGAGUUGCUCAGCACGGAUUGGAGCAGGGAAAUUCUGGAAUCAUGAGGAAAACUACUUCUCAAUUCAUCCCAAGCAUUAACUUCAUAUGUGAACUUACUGCUCGUUCCAUUUCCUCAAAUUAACAAAGACUAUGUGAUUUAUGUCACCAAAGGGUCCAAGCCUUGCAGGUAACAGUUUCAGUAAGAAUGUAAAAGCAUGUCCCGACUUUUGACUGGCUCAAGACUGUUCUUAUACAAAGUUCCUUUCAGUACUUUCUCUCUCUCGCUGAGAGGGUCAUUCUAUUCAUGCUAAUAUUUGUCCUUUCUAGAAGAGGAUUUCUGCUUUCACAGUGCACUGAUUAGCAAGGCUGAAAAUUCCCAAUUCACUCAUUGUAAUCGAGGCAGGCUCUGAGUCAUUGGUAAAAAAACAACAACAACAACUUCUGUAUACAUCUCUACCCACUUUGCUUUGACGUGAGAUGUGUGCAUAAAGAGUUCCAAUUGUUGAUUUAUGAAUUAUUUAGGAAAUUACUAUCAAAUAGUCUCAUGCUCCUCCACCUCACAACUUAAAAGCCCACCUACCAGCCUCACUCCUGAAAGCACACAAUCCAAGUAAUGUCAGUCACUCGACCCUUCUAUUUACCAGAAUCUGCAAGAGGUGCAAUUUAAGACGUCUGUUCCAUUCCGUUUUUCAAAUAUCCCAAGAGCCUUUCUCUUUAAUCAAGUAUUCUGGGGCUUCCCUGGUGGUCCAAUGGCGAAGACUCCACGCCCCCAAUGCAAGGGGCUUGGGUUUGAUCCCUGGUCAGGGAACUAGAUCCCACGUGCCGCAACUAAGAGUUCGCAUGCUGUAACUAGGUUUGCAUGCUGCAACGAAGAUCCCGCAUGCCGCAACUAAGAGUUCGCAUGCUGCAACUAGGUUUGCAUGCUGCAACGAAGAUCCCGCAUGCCGCAACUAAGAGCCUGCGCAGCCAAAAUAAAUAAAUAUUUUUUUAAAAAAGUACUCUGACUUCCUAAGAAGCAAAUUUAGGGCGUGGGCUUUCUCUAGUUGUGGCGAGCGGGGGCUACGCUUCGUUGUGGUGCACGGGCUUCUCGCUGCGGUGACUUCUCUUGUUGCGGAGCACGGGCUCUAGGCGUGUGGGCUUCAGCAGUUGUGGCAGGCAGGCUCAGUAGGUGUGGCUUACGGGCUCUGGAGCGCAGGCUCAGUAGUUGUGGCCCACGGGCUUAGCUGCCCCGUGGCAUGUAGGACCUUCCCAGACCAGGGCUCAAACCCGUGUCCCCUGCCUUGGCAGGCGGAUUCUUAACCACUGAGCCACCAGGGAAGUCCCCAAGAUGACUUUCUAAAAAGGUGACUUCAGAUAAGUAAACGUUAAGACAGUAUCAAAAAGAUUAAAUCUGACGUUUAAAAAGGUGACUUUAAGCAAAUAAAAUUUGUGAAAGUAUCAACAGAUUAAAUUCAUCAUCUUUAAGGUGAAGAGUCUAAGAAGAAAUAUACAUUGGCCCAGAUUUCUAGACCAUUUGAGACAGCAGUAGUAAAACAGAUAAAUCUACGUGCAUUAAGUACAAACACUAAGCAGACUGCAAACAUUAAACACUGUAGCAUUGCGUGGACAGCCCUUUACACCACCUGGUCAGUAAAAGAAGCUACAAAGCAGCUACAUCAACAGUUCUUAACCAACCCCCCCCCGCCAAAAAAACUGGUUACCCAUAAGCCAAUAAACUAUGUCCAUCUAACAGCGAAAAGAGACUUAGUUUCAGCAGCAAUGACUCCUCAGGAGAGAUGAGCCUUGGCGACAGCAAGAAAAGAUGCAAACAUUGCCCUGAAGGCUGACCUGACUGUCCCAGGUGCCCUGGCAGGCAAUCCCCCAAAGAUCAUUGGCAGGGGAAGGGAAGAAAAGGAAGAAGGUGGGCAAAGAAUAAAAAAGAAAAAUUAAA